rnacentral:lncRNA from 1 species
AAACAUUUAACCACUUAGAAGACAUUUUCUCAUAUUUCAUUGAAGCCAAACCCACCAAAGCUAAUCGAAACUCUUCGUUUGCUCCGACGAAGGUGUACACCACUCUCCUAGUACCCUAAAGGUAUAGAAAAGAGAGUUAAACGAACCUUACGAACACCCAAGUGAUCGAACAUUAAGCAACUCAAGAAAAGGGUGAAAAACUCACCGAACGCGAAGGAAACUCUCUCGAUCUCCAAAUGGGAGUUAGAGUCCUUCCAAUCAAUUU